rnacentral:rRNA from 1 species
UACGUAGGGUGCGAGCGUUGUCCGGAAUUAUUGGGCGUAAAGAGCUUGUAGGCGGUUUGUCGCGUCUGCUGUGAAAAUCCGGGGCUCAACCCCGGACUUGCAGUGGGUACGGGCAGACUAGAGUGUGGUAGGGGGAGAUUGGAAUUCCUGGUGUAGCGGUGAAAUGCGCAGAUAUCAGGAGGAACACCGGUGGCGAAGGCGG